rnacentral:rRNA from 1 species
AAACAUUUCUUACAGAAUUUAUUGUAAGUAACACCUGCUCCAUGAAAAUUUAAUAGCCGCGGAAUUUUAACCGUGCUAAGGUAGCAUAAUCAUUAGCCUCUUAAUUAGAGGCUCGCAUGAAAGGUGAAACAUUUUAUACUCUUUAUUAAAUAAUUUUUUCAAACUUAAACUAAGAAUAAAAAUGUUCUUAUUUAUAAAAUAGACGACAAGACCCUUUUGAACUUUACUAUAGUUUGGCUGGGGCAGCCAAAAAAUAAUAAUCUUUAUUUUCUUCUAUUUCAUAAAUAACCCAACAAAGUUGAACUUUGAACAACGUUACCAUAGGGAUAACAGCGUAAUAUAUUUUCAAAGCUCUUAUUUAAAAAUUAUUUUGCGACCUCGAUGUUGAAUUAGUGAAACUUUACUGGUGCAGUAACUUUAAAAGUAGGUCUGUUCGACCUUUAAAUCACUACAUGAUCU